GGUGUCUGCACCGUAAACACUACAUAAUACUUGGAACAUUUUUAUUUUUGAGUAACAAUACAUAUUUUUAAACUCCAGUACGAGAAGUACUUAUAAAAAAAAAAAAGGCCGACAUUUCGCACCAUUGCAUAAGUGUGACACGUGGCCAAUGUUGUAGGUGGAAAGCUGAGAAGAUAUAGGAUUUAUUAGGUAGUUUAAUUUAUAUAUCUAAUAUAACGUUAUUAUAAUCGUACGGUUAUAACCAUUUAUUACUAAUUUAU